rnacentral:sRNA from 1 species
UCGUCACAGUGUCGGGGCUUAGCCAAGUC